GUUCACCUACCACCUUUAUCUUGGCAGUACCCAUAGAUCAACUAUAAAGAGCGGCACCACACACGCCGGAUUUCAAACUGAUUCAAACUGUCAUUGCCCAUCCGGUCGGCGAGGGACUGGAUUGGCUAGGGGGAGUCCAAUUAGGGGGAGUCCCUGCUUGAUGUUGGGGCCGCUCAUGGCGCCUCUCCGCGGUCACUGGUCAAGGCUGUGUCACUCUGUCACUGUCACCGAUGGAGGGAAGGAAUACGCCCCAGAAGAAGAGGAAGAAGUACAUACGUAUGCCUCAUUGGAUCGUGAGCCUCAGUUGAUAUAGAAGAAAUAAAACAAGAAUUAUAGAGAAGCUUGUGGACAAGGCGUUACUGAGACUUUGAAUCAUCAUGAACCACCUCCCGACGACCGCGAACCCAGCCAGUGUUGUGUAGUGUGUGUGACAGGACGCAGCGCUGGCCGUGGGCAAGUCUCCUCAGCAGAGUGUCGAGGUGCCUGGCAAGGGCUAGCUGCUCAUCCUCGGUGAUAGCGCAUACCUCUGGCCGCUCCUCCACAUCCCCCGUCUCCUCCUCCAUAUCCUCCUCCUCCUUAACCCCCUCGCCUUGCUCCAGCACUGGGAUCACCUUCUCCUCCUCCUUUUCUUCCUCCUCCUCUACCCUGAUGUCUGCCACCAACUGGGACUGAAAGAAGAGGAUGAGGAUGACUGGUCCGCCUUGGGGCUCAGCUGCUCGAUGGCUGGCGUGAAGUACGUCUCGAGGGCAGGAACGAAGUCACGCUCACUGAUCUUGCACGCCUCCAGGUUGUUGGGGUGAAGGUUCCACAGCCUCGUCAUCUCCGCACUGUGUGUUUGUGCG